UUACAUUCUGAGAAAAAUACCACGUCUGGUCCGUCUGCCCCCAGUGUGGGAGCAAACAACUCCUCGCUCGGGGGAGAGGAGAUCUGGGCCCACCCUCGCAGGCCCCAUCCGUCCUUUGUGCUUUGGGCCGGUUCUUUCCAGAUUCCUGGAAAAACAGCUGCGAGGCCAAGAGAGAAUGGAUAUUUUGGAGCAACUUCUGAUGCCACAAGCCCAACUUCUAAACUUGGGGCCAGGUCCCAAAACAACCCCUCUGGCAGGACUGGCUACAGCGAUCCCACGCACAGGCUGAACUGAGCUGACCUACCCAGUGGUCACAAUCAGGGUGCAACCCUGACCUUCGGGCCUCAGACUCAGGCCAGCAUGGCAUCUACCCUCCUCCAUCUUCCUAUGACGGGAGCACUCCCGGCAGGUGGAGCCCCCAGACCAGCUCGCUCAGUGUCCCCAUCUACUCGCUCACCAGGCCAGCCUGAGCCCGGGGCCUGUGUGGCACAGCCUACAGCUGUCCCACCUGAGCGUGUGCUUGGCGUGGGGCCGUCCUCCGUGUUCCCAGAGCCCCGGACAGGACCCCCCUCCUGCUGUGAGCCCAGCAAGAGCAGCAGCCGUGACAUCAUCCACUGAAUAUCUAACACGAGCCGGGCCCGCCAUCUCCUCGAUUACUGAAGGAGUCCUGCCGUGUAGCUGAUGCCAUCCCAUUUCACAGAUGAGGAAACUGAGGUGCCCCAAGUUUGCAUCACAGGCCUGAGACCCAGAGUGAGGACCAGGGGCUCUGGACACCAGCACCUUUUCCCCUCUGGGCAGCUGAACCGGAAGCCAGAAUCCACGUCCCUGCGUGCCUGUACCCCACAGCCAGAGGGACACUGGGCCAGCCCCCAAGCCACUCAGUGCCUCGGUUUCCUUAUCUGAAAUGGGUAGAACUGUCCAGCCAUUGGUUGGACCCACAGAGAUCACACAAGGAAUGAAUGUUUGUGCCCUGGCUUGCUCAGGCUUCCAGACCCACAGAACAGAACCCGAACAACAGAAACUUCUCUCCUCAUGCUCCUGGAGGCUGGAAGUCCGAGCUCCAGGCGUGAGCAGGUUGGUUUCCCCCGAGGCUUCUCUGUCUGGCGUGUGGACGGCUGUCCUCACCCCAAGUCCUCACGUGGCUGUUCCUCUGCAUGUCUCUGUCCCAGUCUCCUCUUCUUGCAGGGACACCUGUCGCUCUGGAUCAGGACCCCCACCCAGGACUUCAUUUUACUGUCAUCGCCUCUGUAAAGGCCCCACCUGCAAAUAUGGUCACAUUUUGAGGUGCUGGCAGUGAGGGCUUCGCAUAUGGAUUUGGGGGAAACAGUUCCGACGUAACACCGUGUGGCUGUUCCUUCGGGGAAGGAGGACAUAAAAGCUGAGAUUGGAAGCACUAUGCCACAAGAGAAGACCUGGGACUUUUUGGAGUCCUUGCCGAGCUCCCCUCCUCCACCCCUUCCUGGAGCUGCUCAUCCGCAGGUCCCCUCCUGCACGUGUCACCAUGGAAGGCCAGCACGCUGCGCCACGUGAUGAAGGCCAAGCCUGGGCGACUGCAGCUUCCUCGGCCCGUUGUGACGUUUGUGCUCACAAAGCCUUUAUCCCGCGUUCGGUCAUACUGUGUGUGACAUUCUAUAUGGACUAGACACACGUGCCUUAAAACAAUCCCCAGUCACUGAACCUGGCGA